AGAGUUUGAUCCUGGCUCAGGAUGAACGCUGGCGGCGUGCUUAACACAUGCAAGUCGAACGGUGAAGCAGAGCUUGCUCUGUGGAUCAGUGGCGAACGGGUGAGUAACACGUGAGCAAUCUGCCCCUGACUCUGGGAUAAGCGCUGGAAACGGCGUCUAAUACCGGAUACGAGCUGCGACCGCAUGGUCAGUAGCUGGAAAGAAUUUCGGUCAGGGAUGAGCUCGCGGCCUAUCAGCUUGUUGGUGAGGUAAUGGCUCACCAAGGCGUCGACGGGUAGCCGGCCUGAGAGGGUGACCGGCCACACUGGGACUGAGACACGGCCCAGACUCCUACGGGAGGCAGCAGUGGGGAAUAUUGCACAAUGGGCGAAAGCCUGAUGCAGCAACGCCGCGUGAGGGAUGACGGCCUUCGGGUUGUAAACCUCUUUUAGCAGGGAAGAAGCGAAAGUGACGGUACCUGCAGAAAAAGCGCCGGCUAACUACGUGCCAGCAGCCGCGGUAAUACGUAGGGCGCAAGCGUUAUCCGGAAUUAUUGGGCGUAAAGAGCUCGUAGGCGGUCUGUCGCGUCUGCUGUGAAAACCCGAGGCUCAACCUCGGGCCUGCAGUGGGUACGGGCAGACUAGAGUGCGGUAGGGGAGAUUGGAAUUCCUGGUGUAGCGGUGGAAUGCGCAGAUAUCAGGAGGAACACCGAUGGCGAAGGCAGAUCUCUGGGCCGUAACUGACGCUGAGGAGCGAAAGGGUGGGGAGCAAACAGGCUUAGAUACCCUGGUAGUCCACCCCGUAAACGUUGGGAACUAGUUGUGGGGUCCAUUCCACGGAUUCCGUGACGCAGCUAACGCAUUAAGUUCCCCGCCUGGGGAGUACGGCCGCAAGGCUAAAACUCAAAGGAAUUGACGGGGACCCGCACAAGCGGCGGAGCAUGCGGAUUAAUUCGAUGCAACGCGAAGAACCUUACCAAGGCUUGACAUAUAGAGGAAACGUCUGGAAACAGUCGCCCCGCAAGGUCUCUAUACAGGUGGUGCAUGGUUGUCGUCAGCUCGUGUCGUGAGAUGUUGGGUUAAGUCCCGCAACGAGCGCAACCCUCGUUCUAUGUUGCCAGCACGUAAUGGUGGGAACUCAUGGGAUACUGCCGGGGUCAACUCGGAGGAAGGUGGGGAUGACGUCAAAUCAUCAUGCCCCUUAUGUCUUGGGCUUCACGCAUGCUACAAUGGCCGGUACAAAGGGCUGCAAUACCGUGAGGUGGAGCGAAUCCCAAAAAGCCGGUCCCAGUUCGGAUUGAGGUCUGCAACUCGACCUCAUGAAGUCGGAGUCGCUAGUAAUCGCAGAUCAGCAACGCUGCGGUGAAUACGUUCCCGGGUCUUGUACACACCGCCCGUCAAGUCAUGAAAGUCGGUAACACCUGAAGCCGGUGGCCCAACCCUUGUGGAGGGAGCCGUCGAAGGUGGGAUCGGUAAUUAGGACUAAGUCGUAACAAGGUAGCCGUACCGGAAGGUGCGGCUG
rnacentral:rRNA from 1 species